rnacentral:rRNA from 1 species
CCCUUAGAUGUUCUGGGCCGCACGCGCGUUACACUGAUGCAUUCAACGAGCCUAUCCUUGACCGACAGGUCCGGGUAAUCUUUGAAUCUGCAUCGUGACGGGGAUAGAUUAUUGCAAUUAUUAAUCUUCAACGAGGAAUGCCUAGUAGGCGCAAGUCAUCAGCUUGCGUCGAUUACGUCCCUGCCCUUUGUACACACCGCCCGUCGCUCCUACCGAUUGGGUGUGCUGGUGAAAUGUUCGGAUCGGCCGUUUGUCGCGGUUUCCGCGGCUCGUGGCUGAGAAGUUCAUUAAACCCUCCCACCUAGAGGAAGGAGAAGUCGUAACA